CACGUAGGGCGCGAGCGUUGUCCGGAAUUAUUGGGCGUAAAGAGCUCGUAGGCGGCCUGUUGUCGUCCGCUGUGAAAGCCCGGGGCUUAACCCCGGGUCGGCAGUGGAUACGGGCAGGCUAGAGGUAGGUAGGGGAGAAUGGAAUUCCCGGUGGUAGCGGUGAAAUGCGCAGAUAUCGGGAGGAACACCGGGUGGCGAAGGCGGUUCUCUGGGGCCUGUACUGACGCUGAGGAGCGAAAGCGUGGGGAGCGAACAGGA
rnacentral:rRNA from 1 species